CAACUCCUUGAUAAAGCAAUAACAAUGAGGGCUGUGUCUAAUGUUAGUGAAAUGUGAAUACCAGUGUAAGGUUUCUGAAUGGAGCCAGUCUUCUGGCUCUGGCAUCUAUUUGGUAAGGUCAGGACAGGCUUCUGGCUGUGGCAUCUAUUUGGUAAAAGGUGUUGGGGGUUCUAUCCAAAUCCUGAUCUGCAUGUGGCACUCAAAAUGCAUUUUCUUUUACGGCGGAUGAUUUCCCGUUCCUGAAGCUCACUGGUCAACCAUUUUCCAACAUUCUCCAGGCACAGCUUGGAAGCUGGUACCUCCAGGGUGCGGCCCCUUGCAGCCCGGUGGAUGAAAGAUUCCAGGGCGGUGUCGCUGACUGAAGCAUCGCGGGAGCUGGAAUAUCAGGAUUUCGCUGUGGCGGAUGUAUGGACAAGUGGCUGCAGUCACCCUCUCUUUCACUCAAUGGGGAGAGAAUUUGCUGCUGAUUCUCAAGUUGGGAAUCUUGGAAUAAAAAGCGACACGCCAACCUGUAAUACCGUAGCAGCG